GUCCACGCCGUAAACGAUGGGUGCUAGGUGUGGGCGGUGUCGACUCCGCCCGUGCCGCAGCUAACGCAUUAAGCACCCCGCCUGGGGAGUACGGCCGCAAGGCUAAAACUCAAAGGAAUUGACGGGGGCCCCGCACAAGCAGCGGAGCAUGUGGUUUAAUUCGACGCAACGCGAAGAACCUUACCAGGGCUUGACAUGCACGGGAAUGUCGUAGAAAUACGGCAGCCCUUCGGGGCUCGUGCACAGGUGGUGCAUGGCUGUCGU
rnacentral:rRNA from 1 species